AAGAGAGAGAGACAGAACAACAAACUAAGAACCAACACCACAUGACAUGCCGUGUGUGUGAAACAAAGGGCAGAAUCACAGGACACUGAAGCUGACACUGAAAUCUGAAAGUGAUCAAGACCGAGAUGGACCAAAAAACAACAUUGAUGAAUAUAAACACUUCUAUUUCCUGUCGGCACAGGUUGUCUGAUGUCAAGGAUGUUUUGUUGACCCUGUCCACAGCAGAACAUCGCUUAUCUUCCAUGCUGGUCCUCCUGCCUGCUCUUCACAUUGGGGGUGUCGUCGCUGGACAUCUGGCUGUGUCCUCUCUCAGAGAGAGCUCUGUCGUAGCUGCUCUGGGACUGGCUGUCGAAGUCGGCAUCCUGUAGACGCGGAGCAACGAGGACAUUCACAGUUUCCUCAUCCUGUCCAGCCGGUCGCCAAGUCAACAAACUGAUGUGAAAAGCAAACAGUGGCAGAUUGGAAAUGAGACUGAAUAAAGGCGUGGUUCAUGCUGUUCGAGAGCACGUGGGUGGAGGACUUACGCGUGAGGGCUGGUGUUCUGGAAGAUCUCCAGCAUGCAGGAGCAGGUGAUUUUC